rnacentral:rRNA from 1 species
AUUGAACGCUGGCGGCAGGCCUAACACAUGCAAGUCGAGCGAGCGGCGGACGGGUGAGUAAUGUCUGGUAAACUGUCUGUAGGCGGGGGAUAACUACUGGAAACGGUAGCUAAUCCCGCAUACCAUCAGAUGUGCCCAGAUGGGAUUAGCGAGUGGGUGGGGUAACGGCUCACCUAGGCGACGCUCCCUCGCCGGUCUGAGAGGAUGACCAGCCACACUGGAACUGAGACACGGCCCAGACUCCUACGGGAGGCAGCAGUGGGGAAUAUUGCACAAUGGGCGCAAGCCUGAUGCAGCCAUGCCGCGUGUGUGAAGAAGGCCUUCGGGUUGUAAAGCACUUUCAGCGGGGAGGCGUUACCCGCAGAAGAAGCACCGGCUAACUCCGUGCCAGCAGCCGCGGUAAUAC